GGUUAAGUGACUAAGCGUACACGGUGGAUGCCUUGGCAGUCAGAGGCGAUGAAAGACGUAGUAACUUGCGAUAAGCCCAGAUUAGGUAGUAACAACCAUUUGAGUCUGGGAUUUCUGAAUGGGGAAACCCACGUGCAUAAGCACGUAUCCUUACCUGAAUACAUAGGGUAAGGAGGCGAACCGGGGGAACUGAAACAUCUAAGUACCCCGAGGAAAAGAAAUCAACCGAGAUUCCGAAAGUAGCGGCGAGCGAAAUUGGACUAGCCCUUAAGCUUUACACGCGUUAGACGAACGGUCUGGAAAGUCCGACGAUACAGGGUGAUAGUCCCGUAGUUGACGACGUGUGUUCAGUGAAAUCGAGUAGGGCGGGACACGUGAUAUCCUGUCUGAAUAUGGGGGGACCAUCCUCCAAGGCUAAAUACUACUGACUGACCGAUAGUGAACCAGUACCGUGAGGGAAAGGCGAAAAGAACCCCUGUGAGGGGAGUGAAAUAGAACCUGAAACCGUGUACGUACAAGCAGUAGGAGCAGGCUUUGUCCUGUGACUGCGUACCUUUUGUAUAAUGGGUCAGCGACUUAUAUUCAGUGGCAAGGUUAACCAUCUAGGGGAGCCGUAGGGAAACCGAGUCUUAACUGGGCGUUCAGUCUCUGGAUAUAGACCCGAAACCAGGUGAUCUAGCCAUGGGCAGGUUGAAGGUUGAGUAACAUCAACUGGAGGACCGAACCGACUAAUGUUGAAAAAUUAGCGGAUGACUUGUGGCUAGGGGUGAAAGGCCAAUCAAACCUGGAGAUAGCUGGUUCUCCCCGAAAGCUAUUUAGGUAGCGCCUCGGACGAAUACUACUGGGGGUAGAGCACUGUUAAGGCUAGGGGGUCAUCCCGACUUACCAACCCUUUGCAAACUCCGAAUACCAGUAAGUACUAUCCGGGAGACACACGGCGGGUGCUAACGUCCGUCGUGGAGAGGGAAACAACCCAGACCGCCAGCUAAGGUCCCAAAUUACUACUAAGUGGGAAACGAUGUGGGAAGGCUCAGACAGCCAGGAUGUUGGCUUAGAAGCAGCCAUCAUUUAAAGAAAGCGUAAUAGCUCACUGGUCGAGUCGGCCUGCGCGGAAGAUGUAACGGGGCUAAGUAGUAAACCGAAGCUGCGGCAAUGUGCUUUUGCACAUUGGGUAGGGGAGCGUUCUGUAAGCGGUUGAAGGUGUGUGGUAACGCAUGCUGGACGUAUCAGAAGUGCGAAUGCUGACAUGAGUAACGAUAAAGGGGGUGAAAAACCUCCUCGCCGGAAGACCAAGGGUUCCUGUCCAACGUUAAUCGGGGCAGGGUAAGUCGACCCCUAAGGCGAGGCCGAAAGGCGUAGUCGAUGGGAAACGGGUUAAUAUUCCCGUACUUCUUACAAUUGCGAUGGGGGGACGGAGAAGGCUAGGUGGGCCUGGCGACGGUUGUCCAGGUUCAAGUGCGUAGGCUUGAGAGUUAGGUAAAUCCGGCUCUUUUUAAGGCUGAGACACGACGUCGAGCACCUACGGGUGUGAAGUCAUUGAUGCCAUGCUUCCAGGAAAAGCCUCUAAGCUUCAGAUUGUAAGGAAUCGUACCCCAAACCGACACAGGUGGUCGGGUAGAGAAUACCAAGGCGCUUGAGAGAACUCGGGUGAAGGAACUAGGCAAAAUGGUACCGUAACUUCGGGAGAAGGUACGCUCUCGACGGUGAAGUCCCUCGCGGAUGGAGCUAUUGAGAGUCGCAGAUACCAGGUGGCUGCAACUGUUUAUUAAAAACACAGCACUGUGCAAAAUCGUAAGAUGACGUAUACGGUGUGACGCCUGCCCGGUGCCGGAAGGUUAAUUGAUGGGGUUAGACUUCGGUCGAAGCUCUUGAUCGAAGCCCCGGUAAACGGCGGCCGUAACUAUAACGGUCCUAAGGUAGCGAAAUUCCUUGUCGGGUAAGUUCCGACCUGCACGAAUGGCGUAAUGAUGGCCACGCUGUCUCCACCCGAGACUCAGUGAAAUUGAAAUCGCUGUGAAGAUGCAGUGUACCCGCGGCUAGACGGAAAGACCCCGUGAACCUUUACUACAGCUUGGCACUGAACAUUGACCCUACAUGUGUAGGAUAGGUGGGAGGCUUUGAAGCACGUACGCCAGUAUGUGUGGAGCCGUCCUUGAAAUACCACCCUUGUAGUGUUGAUGUUCUAACGUCGACCCCUUAUCGGGGUUGCGGACAGUGCCUGGUGGGUAGUUUGACUGGGGCGGUCUCCUCCCAAAGAGUAACGGAGGAGCACGAAGGUGGGCUAAUCACGGUUGGACAUCGUGAGGUUAGUGCAAUGGCAUAAGCCCGCUUGACUGCGAGAAUGACAAUUCGAGCAGGUGCGAAAGCAGGUCAUAGUGAUCCGGUGGUUCUGAAUGGAAGGGCCAUCGCUCAACGGAUAAAAGGUACUCCGGGGAUAACAGGCUGAUACCGCCCAAGAGUUCAUAUCGACGGCGGUGUUUGGCACCUCGAUGUCGGCUCAUCACAUCCUGGGGCUGAAGUCGGUCCCAAGGGUAUGGCUGUUCGCCAUUUAAAGUGGUACGCGAGCUGGGUUUAGAACGUCGUGAGACAGUUCGGUCCCUAUCUGCCGUGGGCGUUGGAAGAUUGAAGGGGGCUGCUCCUAGUACGAGAGGACCGGAGUGGACGAACCUCUGGUGUUCGGGUUGUGUCGCCAGACGCAUUGCCCGGUAGCUAAGUUCGGAAUCGAUAACCGCUGAAAGCAUCUAAGCGGGAAGCGAGCCCUGAGAUGAGUCUUCCCUGAUACUUUAAGUAUCCUAAAGGGUUGUCGGAGACUACGACGUUGAUAGGUCAGGUGUGUAAGUGCUGUGAGGCAUUGAGCUAACUGAUACUAAUUGCCCGUGAGGCUUAACCAU
rfam:Vibrio parahaemolyticus RIMD 2210633 DNA, chromosome 1, complete sequence.